GAGUUUGAUCAUGGCUCAGAUUGAACGCUGGCGGAAUGCUUUACACAUGCAAGUCGAACGGCAGCAUAGAGAGCUUGCUCUCUGAUGGCGAGUGGCGAACGGGUGAGUAAUAUAUCGGAACGUGCCUAGUAAUGGGGAAUAACUAGCUGAAAGGUUAGCUAAUGCCGCAUACGACCUACGGGUGAAAGCAGGGGAUCUUCGGACCUUGCGUUAUUAGAGCGGCCGAUAUCUGAUUAGCUUGUUGGUGGGGUAAUGGCCUACCAAGGCGACGAUCAGUAGCUGGUCUGAGAGGACGAUCAGCCACACUGGAACUGAGACACGGUCCAGACUCCUACGGGAGGCAGCAGUGGGGAAUUUUGGACAAUGGGGGCAACCCUGAUCCAGCCAUUCCGCGUGAGUGAAGAAGGCCUUCGGGUUGUAAAGCUCUUUCGCAAGAGAAGAAAACUUGCUAUCUAAUAAAUAGUAAGUAUGACGGUAUCUUGACAAGAAGCACCGGCUAACUACGUGCCAGCAGCCGCGGUAAUACGUAGGGUGCAAGCGUUAAUCGGAAUUACUGGGCGUAAAGCGUGCGCAGGCAGUUUUAUAAGUCAGAUGUGAAAUCCCCGAGCUCAACUUGGGAACUGCGUUUGAAACUGUAAGACUAGAGUGUGUCAGAGGGGGGUAGAAUUCCAAGUGUAGCAGUGAAAUGCGUAGAGAUUUGGAGGAAUACCAAUGGCGAAGGCAGCCCCCUGGGAUAACACUGACGCUCAUGCACGAAAGCGUGGGGAGCAAACAGGAUUAGAUACCCUGGUAGUCCACGCCCUAAACGAUGUCUACUAGUUGUUGGUGGAGUAAAAUCCAUGAGUAACGCAGCUAACGCGUGAAGUAGACCGCCUGGGGAGUACGGUCGCAAGAUUAAAACUCAAAUGAAUUGACGGGGGCCCGCACAAGCAGUGGAGCAUGUGGUUUAAUUCGAUGCAACGCGAAGAACCUUACCAGGCCUUGACAUCCUAGGAAUCCUGUAGAGAUACGGGAGUGCCUUCGGGAAUCUAGUGACAGGUGCUGCAUGGCUGUCGUCAGCUCGUGUCGUGAGAUGUUGGGUUAAGUCCCGUAACGAGCGCAACCCUUGUCCUUAGUUGCCAGCACAUUAUGGUGGGAACUCUAAGGAGACUGCCGGUGACAAACCGGAGGAAGGUGGGGACGACGUCAAGUCAUCAUGGCCCUUACGGCCUGGGCUACACACGUAAUACAAUGGUCGGUACAGAGGGAAGCCAACCCGCGAGGGGGAGCCAAUCUCAGAAAGCCGGUCGUAGUCCGGAUUGUUGUCUGCAACUCGACAGCAUGAAGUCGGAAUCGCUAGUAAUCGCGGAUCAGCAUGUCGCGGUGAAUACGUUCCCGGGCCUUGUACACACCGCCCGUCACACCAUGGGAGUGGGUUUUACCAGAAGUAGUUAGUCUAUCCGCAAGGGGGACGAUUACCACGGUAGGAUUCAUGACUGGGGUGAAGUCGUAACAAGGUAACC
rnacentral:rRNA from 1 species